ACAUAUCACUGGACCCAGCAUCUAGGUGAUAUGGCUCUCCUUUUUCACCUUGGCUUCUUGUAUUUUGGGUAUUAUGACAUAUCACUGGGUCAAACCAAAGGAGGGGGAGGCUCUUGCCUAGGCCCUGCCCACAGGAGACCUUGAGACAGAUCUCUGCAUCCAUCACUUUGGAAGUGUGACUCUCCUCUUCUGGCUGCUCCAUGCCCGCACAGAAGACUGUGAUAUAUCUCCGGGUUCACCAACCAGGUUCUGCCAAAACAAGUGAUUGCAACAUAUAAUUGGACCAGCAACUAGAUGAUGUGACUCUUCUCUUCUGCCUGAGCCCUGGAUAUACUGUGUAUUAUGACACAUGGCUGAGUCCAACAUCAAGGUGAUGUGACUGACCACUUCUGCCUGGGCCAUGCCGAAAAAAGGAGAUUGUGACAUAUCACUGCAUUCAAUACCUAGAUGAUGCUCCAUGACAAGUGGCACCAACAACAGGGACUUCAAGGACGUGACGAAGAAGGUCUGCUAGAGCAGAGGAAGUGAAAUUUACCAGAUGAACCGGGACCCCAGGACGAGUCUGUCAGCAGGGAAUA
rnacentral:lncRNA from 1 species